GCUCUUAUAGUUUAAUGGAUAGAACGACGGUCUUCGGAACCGCAGGUGUAAGUUCGAUUCUUACUAAGAGCA
rnacentral:tRNA from 1 species